UUGGGAAAGUGAAUCAUUCUCCCACCUGUAAAAUGAGGAUAUUAAUAAAUCCUACCUUAUAGGUCAUUGUAAGGGCUGGAAGUAAUAAAUGUGAAAUAGCAUAGUCCAGCAUAAUACAGCAAGGACACUGGAGUAGGUUUUUAUUGAUUUUUGCUCAUGGUGAUAAAGUGAAUGGCUGAGCUGGAAUUUGAACCCAGGCAACCAGAGGCCACCACCAUUUUGUACCUUCUUUGUGUUCGGGUGAUGAUUAAUUCCCACGAAUGAUGGCAUGGCUCCUGCUGGAGCUGUGAAUGCCUUCUGCUCUGGAAGCCAGUGAGGAUUCCUGAAUCAGUUUCUGGGCCUCCACCUAGCACAAGGCAGGUGGACCCAAAUAGGGUGACCACUUUCUGUUGGUACAGCUGGCUGCAUCAAAGUGAAAAUGCGGGGCCCCUUGUUCAAAAAGCAGGAAACCAGGCUGGGCACAGUGGCUCAUGCCUGUAAUCCCAGCACUUUGGGAGGCUGAGGUGGGUGUUGAAGACCAGCCUGGCCAAUGUGGCAAAACUCCGUCUCUACUAAAAAUACAGAAAUUAGCCAGGCAUGAUGGUGUGCGUCUGUAAUCCCCGCUACUGGGGAGGCUGAGGCAUAAGAAUCACUUGAACCUGGAAGGUGGAGGUUGCAGUGAGCUGAGAUCACGCUACUGCACUGCAGCUUGGGCAACAGAGCAAGACUCUGUCUCAAAAAAACAAAAAACAAAGCAGGAAACCAGUGCCAUUAAAGGUAUGAGAAAAUACAACAUAUUUUCUUUUCUCCUGUGGCCUCUCUCUUGACCUCUCAUAGUGUUUUCCAUGUGUUAUUUAAUAUUGUACUCCCUUGGACAUAGGGAGAAUUGCCUGGCAGGUACAGGCUGUCAUAGGCAUCUGGGGUCCUGCUGUGCAACUCCAUGUACACAUGGCCCAUCAGCCUCCAAACAAAUACCUGGACCUAGCCGGGGCAGGAAGUCAGUCUCCCCCUUCCAUGGACCUGCUGUUCCUACUCAUGCAGACAGGUGGCCCACAGGGAUUGCAGCCUCUGUGCUGGAACGUGUUUUAUAUCUCGAUCGGGCGGGUGAGAGGUUCACUCCCACUGAACCUGGCGUGCCAUAGAGCUGCCAGCCUGGGUCAGGGGUAGCCACCACCAUGCCCCAUCCUGAGCUGCUAUGAAGCGUGCGUGCCUGGCUCCAAAUCCUCCCGAUCUCUCAUUCAGGCUUCUGCCAUGUGUUAGAGAAGUGAGUGGCUCAGAAACUGGCCAAGAGAGGCAGGAAGGUGGUGGGAGGUGGUAACACGUGUCAGCCAAGGCUCCACGCCCCCUGGCAUGUGCUCCAGUUGUCCCCUUGGACUCACUUACAAAAACACAUGUUCAAAGAGAAAAUAAUUAUGCAUGUUAAGAUGAUGACGGCAGAGCAUUAAAACCCCAGUGCUGUAUGACUUCACUGGUCAUAUGCCCUUGGAGCCAGCCCUGCCUGGCCAUGUUCCUGAGGUUUUUUGCAGUUUUAAUAGCACUAAAAGUUCCAGGUCCCAGAAGUACUCUCAGUCCCAGGCAAAUCGGGCUGGUUGGUCACCACACACCCAGAACAAGGCUACUCCCAGCCUAAAUUCUUCUUCAGUGAUCUUAGCUAGAAUUUGACAACCUAGAAGGAAGCUAUUAAUUUUUGCAUGCAUGUACAUUUGUGGCAUUUCUUUUUUUUCUCUUUUUUUUUUGAGAUGGAGUUUUGCUCUUGUUGCCUAAGCUGGAGUGCAAUGGUGAGAUCUCGACUCACCGCAAACUCCACCUCCCGGGUUCAAGCGAUUCUCCAGCCUCAGCCUCCCAAGUAGCUGGGACUACAGGCAUGCGCCACCAUGCCCGGCUAAUUUUGUAUUUGUAGUAGAGACGGGGUUUCUCCAUGUUGCUCAGGCUGGUCUCGAACUCCCAACCUCAGGUGAUUCACCUGCCUCGGCCUCCCAAAGUGCUGGGAUUACAGGCAUGAGCCACCAUGCCUGGCCCAUUUGUGACAUUUCAAGCAAUAUACAUUUAUUCUACAUUUUAUUCACACACAUAUAUCUAAGUAGGAGAAGGGGCUUAAUCUUCCCAGAUCUUAGGACUGCUGAAGUUCUUCAGCCUGGUCCCCAGCAGGGUAGCUUCUGUGCCCUCCAGUAGUGGCUGAAUUCACAAAAGGGGGCAAAUCAACUUGCACCCGGCUCUGCAGGAGUGGACAUUUUUGCACACGCCCCUGAAUCACUCCCAGAGGCCACCAGCAAUUGUACCAAAGAGAAGGUUCCCGUACUGAGGAAUCCAGCCCUUGUCACAGGCGUCUGGUUGGGUGGAGCAUGUGCUGGCUAGGGCCCAGACCACCCCAGGUUCCUCUCCUAUGGCUUGUAACCAUGGGCAAGCCACAUCAUCUCACUGAGCCUCAGCUUCCUCUUCUAUAAAUGGGACUAUCUUGCCUCAUAGACCAGGAGGGAGGACUAAAGGAAGUCAGAUGACUGGAGUGCCAGAACAGAGCCUGGCCUGCACUAGGUGCUUAAUGAAUAAGAGCUUGAUCUAUGCAGAUGGAACUUUUACAACAGUCCCACAUGAAACCUGGCUGGCAGGAUGGCUCUUGGCUGUCUCCAGGGCAAAGUGAAAAGACUCACUUGGGUGAGGAAGCUCAUGAGUUUGUAGGUGCAGCUAGUAGACCUGACUUGCCCCUGCUGUGUGCCGCCUCUGCCUCCUAGGGCAGGGCUGGGCAUGUGUCGCAGUUUAAUACAUGAUUAUUGGACAAAUGAGUGAAAGAUAACUCUCUUUUAUGAGUGCUUACUAAGAGCCAGAUGUGACGCUGAGUAUUUCCAUAAAUCAUCUCAAUUCUGUCCACAAAAUCGUGAAGGCGGCCAAGCGCGGUGGCUCAAUGCCUGUGAUCCCAGCACUUUGGGAGGCUGAGGCGGUAUGAUCGCUUGAGUCCAGGAGCUUGAGACCAGCCUGGGCAACAUAGUGAAACCCCAUCUCUACAAAAAUUAAAAAACUUUUAAAAAUCACGAAGAAAAUAUGAUUAUAUCAAUUUGUAGACAAUGAAAUGGAGGCUCAGAGAGGGUAACUAACACCCCCACUACCGCCAAGGUCACACAGAAAAUUCAAGGGAGAACUGAGAUUGGAAUCCAGGUGUGUCUGCUUCCAAAAAGUUGUGUUCCAUUAGCAUUCUUUCCACUGGAUAUUCUGGCAGGAGCUGGGCUUCCUGUCACGGACACUAUGGUUUUGGGAGGAGAUGCUUAGUUCACUCACACUAAUAAUGACCAUGGUAGGGACAUGCCCUGAGCCCCCACAAUUAACAUGUCUUGAAAUUUUAAAGUCUUGAG
rnacentral:lncRNA from 10 species